rnacentral:rRNA from 1 species
UACGGAGGGUGCAAGCGUUAUCCGGAUUUACUGGGUUUAAAGGGUGUGUAGGCGGUCAGUCGCGUCUGCUGUGAAAAACUCGAGGCUCAACCUCGGGCUUGCAGUGGGUACGGGGCUGACUAGAGUGCGGUAGGGGUGACUGGAAUUCCUGGUGUAGCGGUGGAAUGCGCAGAUAUCAGGAGGAACACCGGUGGCGAAGGCGACAUCCUGGACCGGUAUUGACGCUGAGGCGCGAAAGCCAGGGGAGCAAACGGG